UUCCUACGGGGGGCAGCAGUGGGGAAUAUUGCACAAUGGGGGAAACCCUGAUGCAGCGAUGCCGCGUGGAGGAAGAAGGUUUUCGGAUUGUAAACUCCUUUUAUCAGGGACGAUAAUGACGGUACCUGAAGAAAAAGCUCCGGCUAACUACGUGCCAGCAGCCGCGGUAAUACGGAGGAUGCGAGCGUUAUCCGGAUUUAUUGGGUUUAAAGGGUGCGUAGGCGGACUGUUAAGUCAGCGGUAAAAGCCCGGGGCUCAACCCCGGCGAGCCGUUGAAACUGGCUGUCUUGAGAUGUCGAGAGGUA
rnacentral:rRNA from 1 species